CUUUCCACGUCGUCUUUAUUGACAGACGGAAUUAAAGCGAAACACCUAUAUCCUAUGGAUGAUCUGCUGGGUGUCACACAUAAUCUGGCAUCCGACUAGAAAGUAACCUAACUCCUGAGCUUUUUUUGUAAACGCCUCCGAUCCCCUCUGCCUGUCAGUGCGUCUGAGCUGUGUGCCACACGCUGAACCACACACAGGAACACAACACAAAGACCACAAAGACGACAAAGCCGGGCUAAAAAUACCUCGAUGUGUUGAAGAUGUAGGCCUAGCAGAAUUUA